rnacentral:rRNA from 1 species
UGGGGAAUUUUGGACAAUGGGCGAAAGCCUGAUCCAGCAAUGCCGCGUGAGUGAAGAAGGCCUUCGGGUUGUAAAGCUCUUUUGUCAGGGAAGAAACGGUGAGGGCUAAUAUCCCUUGCUAAUGACGGUACCUGAAGAAUAAGCACCGGCUAACUACGUGCCAGCAGCCGCGGUAAUACGUAGGGUGCAAGCGUUAAUCGGAAUUACUGGGCGUAAAGCGUGCGCAGGCGGUUUUGUAAGUCUGAUGUGAAAUCCCCGGGCUCAACCUGGGAAUUGCAUUGGAGACUGCAAGGCUAGAAUCUGGCAGAGGGGGGUAGAAUUCCACGUGUAGCAGUGAAAUGCGUAGAUAU